rnacentral:rRNA from 1 species
CACGUAGGGCGCGAGCGUUGUCCGGAAUUAUUGGGCGUAAAGAGCUCGUAGGCGGCCUGUUGCGUCCGCUGUGAAAGCCCGGGGGCUUAACCCCGGGUCGCAGUGGAUACGGGCAGGCUAGAGGUAGGUAGGGGAGAAUGGAAUUCCCGGUGUAGCGGUGAAAUGCGCAGAUAUCGGGAGGAACACCGGUGGCGAAGGCGGUUCUCUGGGCCUUACCUGACGCUGAGGAGCGAAAGCGUGGGGAGCGAACAGG